rnacentral:rRNA from 1 species
AUUGAACGCUGGCGGCAGGCUUAACACAUGCAAGUCGAACGAGUGGCGGACGGGUGAGUAAUGCUUGGGAAUCUGGCUUAUGGAGGGGGAUAACGACGGGAAACUGUCGCUAAUACCGCGUACCCAAGGAUGAGCCCAAGUGGGAUUAGGUAGUGGGGGGGGUAAGGGCCUACCAAGCCGACGAACUCUAGCUGGUCUGAGAGGAUGACCGGCCACACCGGGACUGAGCCACGGCCCGGACUCCUCCGGGAGGCAGCAGUGGUGAAUAUUGCGCAAUGGGGGCAACCUGACGCAGCCAUGCCGCGUGAAUGAAGAAGGCCUUCGGGUUGUAAAGUUCUUUCGGUGACGAGGCGUUAAUCACAGAAGAAGCACUGGCUAACUCCGUGCCAGCCGCCGCGGUAAUAC